rnacentral:rRNA from 1 species
AGUGAACGCUGGCGGUAGGCCUAACACAUGCAAGUCGAACGGCAGCACAGUAAGAGCUUGCUCUUACGGGUGGCGAGUGGCGGACGGGUGAGGAAUACAUCGGAAUCUACUUUUUCGUGGGGGAUAACGUAGGGAAACUUACGCUAAUACCGCAUACGACCUACGGGUUAAAGCAGGGGAUCUUCGGACCUUGCGCGAUUGAAUGAGCCGAUGUCGGAUUAGCUAGUUGGCGGGGUAAAGGCCCACCAAGGCGACGAUCCGUAGCUGGUCUGAGAGGAUGAUCAGCAACACUGGAACUGAGACACGGUCCAGACUCCUACGGGAGGCAGCAGUGGGGAAUAUUGGACAAUGGGCGCAAGCAUGAUCCAGCCAUACCGCGUGGGUGAAGAAGGACUUCGGGUUGUAAAGCCCUUUUGUUGGGAAAGAAAAGCAGCAGGUUAAUACCCCGCUGUUCUGACGGUACCCAAAGAAUAAGCACCGGCUAACUUCGUG